rnacentral:rRNA from 1 species
GUGGGUUGUAAACUGCUUUUAUUCGGAAGAGUAAGGCACACGUGUUUCCUGGUGACGGUACCGUAAGAAUAAGGAUCGGCUAACUCCGUUCCAGCAGCCGCGGUAAUACGGAGGGUCCGAGCGUUAUCCGGAAUUAUUGGGUUUAAAGGGUCCGCUGGCUGGCAUUUAAGUCAGGGGUGAAAUGUUGCGGCUUAGCCGUAGCACUGCCCUUGACGCUGGUUGUCUUGAGUAAUAGUGAAGUGGCCGGAAUAUGUAUUGAAGCGGUGAAAUGCAUAGAUUUUACAUAGAACAACAAUAGCGAAGGCAGUUCUCUAACUAUCGAAUGACGCUGAUGGACGAAAGCGUGGGGAGCGAACGUGAUUAGAUACCCCGGUUGUCCACGCCGUAAAAGAUGGAUUCUAGCUGUCCGGCACCUUGAGUGCUGGGCGGCUAUGCGAAAGUUAUAAGUAUCCCCCCUGGGGAGUAUGUUUGCAGGAAGGGAAAUAGGGAGGGAAUGUCGG